rnacentral:rRNA from 1 species
GACGAACGCUGGCGGCGUGCUUAACACAUGCAAGUCGAACGGGAACCUUUAUUUCGGUAAAGGUGAGAGUGGCAAACGGGUGAGUAACACGUAGGCAACCUGCCGACAGGAUGGGGACAACAUUCCGAAAGGAAUGCUAAUACCGAAUGAAGUCACUGGAGGGCAUCCUCUGGUGAUGAAAGAUGGCCUCUGAAUAUGCUAUCACCUGUCGAUGGGCCUGCGUCUGAUUAGCCAGUUGGCGGGGUAACGGCCCACCAAAGCGACGAUCAGUAGCCGGUCUGAGAGGAUGAACGGCCACAUUGGGACUGAGACACGGCCCAGACUCCUACGGGAGGCAGCAGUGGGGAAUCUUCCACAAUGGGCGAAAGCCUGAUGGAGCAACGCCGCGUGAGUGAAGAAGGUCUUCGGAUCGUAAAGCUCUGUUGCACGGGACGAAAACCGAGCUUGAGAAUAUUGAG